UGGGACGUAGCCAAGUGGUAAGGCAGCGGAUUUUGAUUCCGCCAUUCGGAGGUUCGAACCCUCCCGUCCCAGCCA
rnacentral:tRNA from 4 species